rnacentral:lncRNA from 1 species
AUUGGAUCUUUCAUUCUGUCAUGUUCUUGGGGCCCCACAACUCCAUGGACUGUUGCAAGCCUUGGCAACAGGAAGCAGGUGGAUCCAAGUUAGAGGUUUGGCAGCCAGAGGGAGGAGAGAGGCUGGGAUGAGCUGAAGGAGCUGGCAAGGUCAAGAGGAGGGACCUUCAGGAUCAGGGGAACCAGAGCUUGUAAUCAAAUGGGUCAGAAAGAGGGAAAAUCUGAAAUGCUGGAGAUGAGGGCUGAUGCUCAGAAUGAAUACUGAUGUAGCUAAAAUGCCUCUAUCGGUGCUGAUUAACAUGGAAUUUUCCAAGUGCUUCAUUUCAUGUACUUCUGCAAGGGCCAGAGAUGGUGUCCACUAGUCCCAAGGCUGGCCUCCAGGCAUCGCUUCAUAGGACCUUCUUUCAUUUGGUGGCCUUUGGGAUUUCCUGCAACUGUCCUCUUCUUUGUGAACUUUAUGAAGUUCGCAUAACUGAGACAUACCUACCGCACCUCUGUAUCUGCCAACGCAUACUCCAGCUCUUUGCACGGGGCCAGCCCAGAGGUUGAUAGAGUCAUCCCACGAAAUAGAUUA